UACAGCUUCUUUUGGAAUCUUGACUUGAGUUUCAUCACCCUGUUCUCCAGGCGGGUUCCUGACUUGCUAUUUCAUCAACUUGUUGCUAUGCUUUCAAUUUCUUCACCCUGUUCUGCAGGCGGGUUCCUGACUUGCUAUUUCAUCAACUUGUUUCUAUGCUUUAAAUUUUGUUUCUAUGUUUCUAUGCUUUAAAAUUACAAAAUUCCUAUCUAUACAGCUUCUUUUGGACUCUUGACUUGAGUUUCAUCACCCUGUUCUGCAGGCGGGCUCCUGACUUGCUAUUUCAUCAACUUGUUUC
rnacentral:lncRNA from 1 species